rnacentral:rRNA from 1 species
GACGAACGCUGGCGGCGUGCCUAAUACAUGCAAGUCGAACGCACAGUUUACACCGUAGCUUGCUACACCAUAAACUGUGAGUUGCGAACGGGUGAGUAACGCGUAGGUAACCUGCCUGGUAGCGGGGGAUAACUAUUGGAAACGAUAGCUAAUACCGCAUAAUAUUGAUUAUUGCAUGAUAAUUGAUUGAAAGAUGCUAUUGCAUCACUACCAGAUGGACCUGCGUUGUAUUAGCUAGUAGGUGAGGUAACGGCUCACCUAGGCGACGAUACAUAGCCGACCUGGGAGGGUGAUCGGCCAAACUGGGACUGGGACACGGCCCAGACUCCUACGGGAGGCAGCAGGAGGGAAUCUUCGGAAAUGGACGAAAGUCUGACCGAGCAACGCCGCGUGAGUGAAGAAGGGUUUCGGAUCGUAAAGCUCUGUUGUAAGAGAAGAACGGGUGUGAGAGUGGAAAGUUCACACUGUGACGGUAUCUUACCAGAAAGAGACGGCUAACUACGUG